rnacentral:rRNA from 1 species
AGUGAACGCUGGCGGUAGGCCUAACACAUGCAAGUCGAACGGCAGCACAGUAAGAGCUUGCUCUUACGGGUGGCGAGUGGCGUACGGGUGAGGAAUACAUCGGAAUCUACUUUUUCGUGGGGGAUAACGUAGGGAAACUUACGCUAAUACCGCAUACGACCUACGGGUGAAAGCAGGGGAUCUUCGGACCUUGCGCGUUUGAUUGAGCCGAUGUCGGAUUAGCUAGUUGGCUGGGUAAAGGCCCACCAAGGCGACGAUCCGUAUCUGGUCUGAGAGGAUGAUAAGCAACACUGGAAGUGAGAAACGGUCAAGAGUCCUACGGGAGGAAGAAGUGGGGAAUAUUGGACAAUGGGAGCAAGCAUGAUACAGCAAUACCGAGUGGGUGAAGAAGGAGUUCGGGUUGUAAAGCCCUUUUGUUGGGAAAGAAAAGCAGCAGGUUAAUACCCCGCUGUUCUGACGGUACCCAAAGAAUAAGCACCGGCUAACUUCGUG